GAGGCCGUCAAGGAAUCUAUAAGAUUAAGGAUGAAGAAUAUUAUUACAGCAACGUUUGUAUUAAUAUCCCUAUAUUACUUAUUUUCCAUUAAUUGCACAGGAAUACUUGGAGCUACUACGAGUAGUUUAAACAUAGAGAACUCAAAUAGAAAUAGGCCGAGAGUAGGUUUCUCCAGUUACCACCUUAAAGCCAAUCAAUUUAGAAGAAUGAGACCGGAUAUUUUCCUAAAUGAUAUUGGAGACGACGACGAUCUUUUUGACCUUACCAAAAGGCAGCAGAUAAAUUCAGAUGACUAUGGCCACUUAAGGUUUGGAAAACGUGAUGAGUUCUUCGAUGACUAUGGACACAUGCGCUUUGGAUGAAACAAUGUUGACUAAACGGCUUAGGAUCGAGACCAUUGACGUAUAUUUAUAUCUUUUGUAAACAUUGAAUAAGCUAUAAUAAAUGGUUCUAAAAAGCAAAUGAAAAAUUUAAA